GGAUGUGAGGGCGAUCUGGCUGAGACAUCUGUCACCCUAUUGAUCGCCAGGGUUGAUUCGGCUGAUCUGGCUGGCUAGGCGGGUGUCCCCUUCCUCCCUCACCGCUCCAUGUGCGUCCCUCCCGAAGCUGCGCACUCAGUCGAAGAGGACGAAGAGGACGACCUUCCCCGAUAGAGGAGCUCCCCUGCUAGAACCUCCAAACAAGCUCUCAAGGUCCAAGAGCAUGGGUACAAGUCCUACAAAAAAGAAGUAGGGGAGGCCACUCUGGCUGCCUUCCAAUUUCU
rnacentral:snRNA from 1 species